CGUAGGGUGCAAGCGUUGUCCGGAUUUAUUGGGCGUAAAGAGCUCGUAGGCGGCUUAGAAAGUCAGGUGUGAAACCUCCAGGCUCAACCUGGAGACGCCACUUGAUACUUCUAUGGCUUGAGUUCGGUAGGGGUAAGCGGAAUUCCUGGUGUAGCGGUGAAAUGCGCAGAUAUCAGGAGGAACACCGAUGGCGAAGGCAGCUUACUGGGCCGAAACUGACGCUGAGGAGCGAAAGCGUGGGGAGCGAACAGGAUUAGAUACCCUGGUAGUCCACGCCGUAAACGUUGGGUACUAGGUGUGGGAGGUAAUCAACGCCUUCCGUGCCGCAGCUAACGCAUUAAGUACCCCGCCUGGGGAGUACGGUCGCAAGACUA
rnacentral:rRNA from 1 species